rnacentral:lncRNA from 1 species
CCUAACAAAUACAAAGUUGGCUCCGAUAUCACUGUUGGGAAUUUACUUAAACAUGCAUAGCGGAAAUAAAAAUAAUUUCAAUUCCUACCAGGAUUUAUCUUUGUAUUUAAAUAAGAAUUGUGAUGAGAAUUAUACAUUUUCUUGAAUCUGCAAACUCCUUUGAGUUAUCUUUGUUCUAGCAACUUGAAUCUGCCUCCCACAGCUGUCCAAUUGUCCAGCCUCCAAUGAAAUCCACACAGAGAAUAGACUGCAACUGUUGGAGUUUCUCCUCUUGUACUAGCAAGAAUUAUGAAAAAAUAUAUGGAUCUAAAACCCUAACCAUGUAUUUAUAUAAACUCAAACGGCUCGGCCUGGUUCGGUCCAAUAUUUAAUUAAUCCAUUUAAUUAAAUUCGGUCCGUGAAUUAAUUAAUCCAAUUAAUCAAUUUGGUGCUAUAAAUAACCAAUCCAAUUAAUUAAUUUAACAAACGAUUGUUAAAUUAAUUAAUUGGCAAUUUACAAUCUUCCAAUUCUCUUUUGUGUGCGACCCAUCAGGUUUCCGACCACGAUGUCUAAUGACAUGAAAUAUUAUUUUGAUCUAAUCAAAACUGAUAAAUUAAACACCCUUUUAAUUUAUCACAAAUUCACACUCGUCGUCCAAGAUUGACAUCUAGCAAUGUAUCAGGGCAACACAUAUGAUGGGAAAUGUCACGUGGUAUGACAAAACCAAAUUUAUUCGUUUACCAUAAAACUAUAAUCCCUUCGUUAAUAUGAUCCGAUCAAUUACGAGAUAUUGAAGUGUAUCAAUCUCGAUUACCGAUCAUAUCUUUCAUUCUACUAUUAAGUCAAUAUUAGUCGAAAACUCCUUUUCGACUUAUGUGUAUACCUUGACCAAAAAUUUCGUUAUUGACUUAAUUGAACGAAAUGCAGAUCACGAUCUUUUACUAUCUAAGAUUGACGAAUCCACUAUUGGUCAUUCACAACUUUCAUAUGGUUCUUGACAUACCCGAACGAUGUCAUAUUAGCGGCCCUUGAUUGAGCAACAUCCAACACCGUCAAAGUAUGACUGUCCUCAUACAAGGUACUAUGAUGAUCUCAAGUUAUUGGACCAAUUCCACUACCGAACAUUAGAGAUUAAUAAUUGACACUCAGAUAGUUAUCCAUGUGGAAUCUCUUAGCGGUUCUCUAAUGUUUUGUUCUAUAACAAAACAUCCACGUGUUCAUUUAAGUGUCACCACACUUUAACUUGUGAGAUCAACUACUUACUUCACAAGUAAGAAAUGCCACACGUGAUGGUCUAUCUAUAAUAAUGAUAUCCGUAUCUCGUUAUUACUUAUGACCACGGAUUAUUCAAUAUCCAAUCAUACGUAAUUUGUAUCUUAUAAUCACAACUCCUUAUGAUUAACAAAUCACUUAAAUUUGAAUUUUCGGACUCUAUUAUUUAAUAUUAUUUAUCAGAAAAUUAAUUUAAAUAAAUAAUAGACCUUUCCAAAAUUAAGGGGCUGUUUGAGCCCCAUUACUUGUAGAUUAUAAUGAAAUGAAUAGUAUUUUUUUGAAAAAUGAGUGAUUGAAAUUUUUUUGAUUUACGUAUAAUAUUAUUUUAUUAAAGAUUGUGUGGUUAAAAGUAAAAAAGAAAAAAAUUUAAUUUAAUAUAAUAAGAGAUAAUGAGACUCAAACGGGGACUAAAUACAUUAAACAUAUUAAAAGUGUUUACAACCUAAAUCGAUUGGAUUUAGCGCAUAACACUUACAAUGAACACAAGGAACAACCUCAACAUUGCAAAUUACAAACCUAAACAAAUCUAUGACUACUGUAGGCAACAAACACGGUCAACAUUUUCCAAUUCUCUUCCAAAUAGCAUUUUCCAAUUCUCUUGCAAUUAUUACAGAGAAUGACAAAGAGAAUUGCACUAAAUUUACGCUUGCAAAUAUUAUCGUGACAAACAUGAUAGUAAAGAGAAAAUUCCUAUUUGUAGAUACACCAGAUGGCAAUAAAUUUAUGCUUCUCCAUACUGAAGCAUUUUUGUAGAUACGCAAUUGCAGAAAAUGCCAAAGAGAUAAUCUGACAAAGCAUAUGUAUUGGACACGAAGAAUCAUCUUGCAAGGUUGAAUACUAGUCAAGAGGGAAAAGUUCUCUUGAAGCGUAAAUUUAGUGACAUCUAGCAAGGUGCAUUUUUCAUAGCCAAAGUCUGCAGCUAAGCCAAUCACCAUUGUGUACCCGAUAGAGAAUGUUAUUUUCAGCUUUUUAUGCAAAUAAAAUUGAACCCAUAUAGUAAAUGCAACAAACUAAAAUAGAAGAACCUUACUUGGCAAGAUGAAGACUCUGAUGUUCGAGUUCGUGGCGGCCAGCAGCGAUGAGUUCGCUGAUUUUUUGGUUCUAUUUGGAAUGCUUGCCAACCUCAACCAUUUUUCUUUUAUGGGCUUUUAAGUGUGCCCAAAUCAAUUUUGUAUGGUUGGUUUGCCGGUGACGAGAUUCGCGACGAUUGGAAGCUAAUUAGUGCUCUCUUACACUCUUCUCCCUCAGACGUCCGUGCUGCUAUUUUGAGGGUAAUGAGCUAACUUUCACAUAUUUUUUCAUUUAUUAUCACCAUCCUCUCGGUUUUUUCCUUUCCAACCACGUGUCUGUCAUUUAUUUAUUAUUUAAUACCUGUAUUGAGUAUGUACAAAUGGAUCUGGUGGAAUAGCAUUUUCCUUCCCAAACCCUUGGAUCCGCUUAUUGUGAC